rnacentral:rRNA from 1 species
UAAGGAAUAUUGGACAAUGGAGGCAACUCUGAUCCAGCCAUGCCGCGUGAAGGAAUAAGGCCCUAUGGGUUGUAAACUUCUUUUAGACGGGACAAAACCCCUUUACGUGUAAAGGGUUGAUGGUACUGUCAGAAUAAGCAUCGGCUAACUUCGUGCCAGCAGCCGCGGUAAUACGAAGGAUGCAAGCGUUAUCCGGAAUUAUUGGGUUUAAAGGGUGCGUAGGCGGACUAAUAAGUCAGUGGUGAAAGCCUGCAGCUUAACUGCAGAAUUGCCAUUGAUACUGGUAGUCUUGAGUACAGUUGAGGUAGGCGGAAUGUGUCAUGUAGCGGUGAAAUGCUUAGAUAUGACACAGAACACCGAUUGCGAAGGCAGCUUGCUAAGCUGUAACUGACGCUGAGGCACGAAAGCGUGGGGAGCAAACA